AUCAACUGGUCCCCGAGCUCCCUGGGAAGAAUGUGAAUUUCUCUUCAGAGGGCUGCAAAUUUCCCCUCUGCUGCCUGAAGGUCCCUGACUCUCGGCCAGGGUGAACAGAUCAUCUGGAGCCUGUUUCAGACUCAGCAUUCACAGCUCUGCCAUGGAUCACGCUGCAGAAUCACAGCUCACCUCCAGCCACCCCUGAGCUUCUGCCUCCUAACAGCUACUGCAGCUCUCAGCAUUCCCAAUAAGAAUGAUCUUCAAAACUCCUGUUCCUUCAAUCAGCAUGAGAUUGAAGCAAAAAUAUUUUAAAAACUCAAACAGUAAUAAAAUCAAACAUAAGCUUUGCA